rnacentral:rRNA from 1 species
UACGUAGGGGGCAAGCGUUGUCCGGAUUCAUUGGGCGUAAAGGGCGCGUAGGCGGCUCGAUAAGUCAAAGGUGAAAUCCCUCGGCUCAACUGAGGAACUGCCUUUGAAACUGUCGAGCUUGAGUCCGGGAGGGGGUAGCGGAAUUCCCAGUGUAGCGGUGAAAUGCGUAGAUAUUGGGAGGAACACCAGUGGCGAAGGCGGCUACCUGGACCGGAACUGACGCUGAGGCGCGAAAGCGUGGGUAGCAAACAGG